AGGAAGCUGCCGUUUGUACUCGGGUAGCAACCGGCAGAAGCCUCCCCGGGGUCCCUCCCACCGCCCGUGAAGCCUACCCACCCAAUCUUUAGCGGCUGCGAAGUCCUUCCACCCCACUCCACGACCCCUCCCGCUGCGGGGCUCCUUCCGCCCCAUCGCCCGGCCCCGGCUCCCGCCUCCUGUGCCUGCCUUUCUCGCGGCUGCCCUUAGGGCAGAGGCAUCGCGUUGGGUGCUUUACAGGGGACAAGGCGUCCGAAUUCCCUAUCGCCUGUGGGCGAUCCCCGCCCAACCCCUAGGCCAUCCAGUUCUGUUAUCAGAGGACUCCCAACAUGUCAGCUGUCUGCUGCACGGCCCCUGGAGCUCCCAUAGGCACUGCAUACCCACACGGCCAACAUGGCCAACAUGGAACUCAGUAUCCUCCAAACAGAGGCCUUCCUCUUGGGUUCCCUGUUCAUAAGAGGAAGCCACUAUCUACUCAGGUGUGCCCACAGAAGAAAGUUGAGAGUCGUCCUGGACCCCACUUUCUCCAUCCCUCACACUCAAUCCUUUUCUAGAUCCUGAAAGUGUACAUUGAAAGGUCGCUAAUUUUCUCAUCUCCACCUCUGUAUCUCCUACUCAUCCUUCCAGGUCUAACUGAAAAAUAGCUUUGCCUUGUGUAAGAGUACAUUCAUCUCUGCGCCGUUAUCAUCGCUUGUGAAGUUUUUAUCAGUGGACUGACCACUUCAGGGUUGGGGCCGUGUGUGAAUUAUUUGGGUGAACCCAGAGCCCAGCAUGGCACUGGGCAAAGGCAAGUCAGCCCUGAGUUGUUCUUCCAUGGUUGUACCUACCUUGGUUGUCGUUGUGCUCCAGUCAUACAUAAUCUUACGAGCUCUCGAAAUUUGCAGCUGUUCCCGUCUCAUCUUUUGGUCUCUAGCUUCUCUCUCUGCAACCCAUCCUCCACACUACACACAAUGUGAUCUUUCUAUUGGACAAAAUUAACCCUCUCCUUCUUUAAAUCCUUCAGUGGUUCUCCAUCAAGGCAUAUAGGCCUUCCCUGUCUGCCUUGCCAGACUCUUCUCUCACUCCUAUUCUCUCCCUUUACAUUCCUGACACUCAGCUUUGCAGAGCUAACUAGCUCUUUGAGCACUCCAUGCUCUGCACUCCAGGCCAGAGAGCCUCCAUGCCCUCCAGUAUCCCUUGCUUGGUUAACUGUUGUUCAUCCUUCAGGACUCUGGCAAGACUUAGUUUUGUCCCCCAAGCCUGGGUUUGAUGCCUCCUCUGAGUUUUCAGUUCCACUGCUUCUCUUUGAUCAUGUAUAUUUUGAUUGUUUGUUUACAUAUCUGUCCCUUGUACUUGGAAGGUCAUCUCUAGCCAUUUACCCAGCACAGCGUCUUGCAUGAAGGAGACACCAGUGGGAACGGGAGAAAGACUUUAUGAGAUAAGCCCUGAGCCCAGUGAUGGGUUGGGAAACAAUCUCGGAUUUAGGGCCAGACAGACUCAAGUUCAAGUCCUAAUUCUGUUACUUACAAUUUAUGUGUUCUUAGAAGAGUCACCUCUUUCUAGGCCUGUUUCCUUGGUAAUAGACUGGGCAUGAUGAAUACAGUUGCUAUGAGGUUUAAGUGAGGUAAUGAUAAAGAGGGUUAGUUAGUCAGCAGGGGCUAAGUAAAUGAGAAUUCAAACCAGAAACCAAGGCUCAUGCCUUUAAUCUUAGCACUUUGGAAAGCCAAUGCAGGAGGAUUGCUUGAGCCCAGGAGUUCAAGACCAGCCUGGGCAAUAUAGUGAGACCCUGUCUCUAUGAAAAACAAAAACAAAACCCCAGAAACCAAUACCCCCUGGUUUCAAGGCCUAGCUCAGUGACUUUAAAAAUCCGACAUAGCUGAACAACUACUACAUGCCAGGCCUUGUGUAAAGAGCAAGGGAUGGGAUACCCAGCUAGUCUCUGGGUUGCUUUCCAGCUUCACCUACUAACUUUCCUUGCAUUCUACUUUCUAACAAAAGCAAACUGCUAGCAGGUCCCCAGAUACAUCAUUCUGUUACACCUCUAUGUUCUCUACAUAGUGUUGUCUUUAUAUCUGGAGUAACCUUUCUUCCUUGUCUGCCAAGUGAACUUCUGUUCCUUCUCUGAGUCCGUUUUCAGUCAUUACCUCCUGUGUGAAGCUUACUCUGAUUUUCUCCUCC
rnacentral:lncRNA from 10 species